rnacentral:rRNA from 1 species
UAGGGAAUCUUCGGCAAUGGACGAAAGUCUGACCGAGCAACGCCGCGUGAGUGAAGAAGGUUUUCGGAUCGUAAAACUCUGUUGUUAGAGAAGAACAAGGACGUUAGUAACUGAACGUCCCCUGACGGUAUCUAACCAGAAAGCCACGGCUAACUACGUGCCAGCAGCCGCGGUAAUACGUAGGUGGCAAGCGUUGUCCGGAUUUAUUGGGCGUAAAGCGAGCGCAGGCGGUUUCUUAAGUCUGAUGUGAAAGCCCCCGGCUCAACCGGGGAGGGUCAUUGGAAACUGGGAGACUUGAGUGCAGAAGAGGAGAGUGGAAUUCCAUAUGUAGCGGUGAAAUGCGUAGAUAUAUGGAGGAACACCAGUGGCGAAGGCGGCUCUCUGGUCUGUAACUGACGCUGAGGCUCGAAAGCGUGGGGAGCAAACAGG